GCACGCAGCUUUCGCCUCACUGAUGCCCCUCGGCUGAGGUGCGCGUGCGCCUCGCAAACCCUAAAUAUGGUGAUCGCAUCUGCGAUGGUUGGGCCACUGCGGUUUUUUCAAAGUAUUUUCCGCCCAAAAAAAACCUAUGAGGGGCAGAUGUGCGGCAUUCGAUUCAGAUGUGAAGAGUGGGGCGGAUGGAAACGUUGACGCUUAUUUAGCAUAUCAACAAAAUGGCUCGCCCAUGAUCUAUCUGUGAUGAAGCCCUCUUGCAUAGAAAGCUGCUGCUUUUC
rnacentral:telomerase_RNA from 1 species